rnacentral:sRNA from 1 species
CUUUUUGCUUAUUAUGCAGUCAUGUAAAAACUGUACAUCAUUGUUUUCUUCUCACUUAUUACCAUAUACUAAAGAUGUUGAGAUCGCUUUCUG